rnacentral:rRNA from 1 species
AGUGAACGCUGGCGGUAGGCCUAACACAUGCAAGUCGAACGGCAGCACAGUAAGAGCUUGCUCUUACGGGUGGCGAGUGGCGGACGGGUGAGGAAUACAUCGGAAUCUACUUUUUCGUGGGGGAUAACGUAGGGAAACUUACGCUAAUACCGCAUACGACCUACGGGUGAAAGCAGGGGAUCUUCGGACCUUGCGCGAUUGAAUGAGCCGAUGUCGGAUUAGCUAGUUGGCGGGGUAAAGGCCCACCAAGGCGACGAUCCGUAGCUGGUCUGAGAGGAUGAUCAGCCACACUGGAACUGAGACACGGGCCAGACUCCUACGGGAGGCAGCAGGGGGGAAUAUUGGACAAUGGGCGCAAGCCUGAUCCAGCCAUACCGCGUGGGUGAAGAAGGCCUUCGGGUUGUAAGCCCUUUUGUUGGUAAAGAAAAGCAGCAGGUUAAUACCCCGCUGUUCUGACGGUACCCAAAGAAUAAGCACCGGCUAACUUCGUG